GGGGCCUGGUUCAGGGUGAAGUCCAGCAAUGCUUGUCUGCUCUAAGUGCCAAGCUUCUCCUGCACGCUAGAGCCCACCACAGGAGGGAAGGCCUAAGGGAAGCACUGUCCAGUCUCACCCCCAGCACCUGCAGCCACCAUAGUCAUGUUCAACCAGAUGACAGUAAACCAUGUUACCCCUUACUGAGUGCCUGCUCUGUACCAGGAACAUAUGCUUGUCAUGACCCUGAGUGCAGAGAACUCACCAACUUGCCCAAGGGUAAAGCCACCAGUGGCCAAAGCGAGGCUGCAGAUCCAGGCUGCUGGCCAGGAGGCAU
rnacentral:lncRNA from 1 species